UACGUAGGGACCAAGCGUUGUUCGGAUUUACUGGGCGUAAAGGGCGCGUAGGCGGUCGUGACAAGUCACUUGUGAAAUCUCCGGGCUUAACUCGUAACGGUCAAGUGAUACUGUCGGACUAGAGUACAGAAGGGGCAACUGGAAUUCUCGGUGUAGCGGUGAAAUGCGUAGAUAUCGAGAGGAACACCUGCGGCGAAGGCGGGUUGCUGGGCUGAUACUGACGCUGAGGCGCGAAAGCCAGGGGAGCGAACGGGG
rnacentral:rRNA from 1 species